CUCAACCAAUGAGAUGACGAGAAGUUGUUUAACUCGGAGAGAAACGUCAACCUGCGCAUGUUUUGAGUUUUACUCAGUGCCCUACUUGACUUUUUUGUAUAUUCAGAUAUAGGCAAUGUCCAUCUUACCUCCUACUAAGGAGAUCCAGACCUUGUGGACGGCUGUGGCUGACUGGCUCCAUUCACUAUUCUCCUGGGAUCUCCAGGAUACAGCGUCUGACAUGCCUUCAUGGAGGUUUAGCAGAGCUGGGUUUGGUGGGACCCUCUGGAAUGGACCCUCGACCAAAUUGUGUUGUGGUCUGCGGGGACAGAGUGUGCCAGUGGAACAGAGUGGAGAGGAUCUGGCUCACUCGGCCCACUCAGGUUUCCUCACACUGAGCUCAUGUUACAGUCCUCGCAAGGUGUGACUCUCAAAGUUCCUUUUCCGAACCGACUGCACUAUUGAGACGUUUCUUCCUCCGGAUCAUCUUGUCACAUAUGGUGUAUCAAUGCUUUUUAGAGCAUGCUAGCUAUUGUUUUGAUUCUGUACAGGCAGAUGACAUCAUGGAAAAGUAAAGUUACAGGUUUCACAA